rnacentral:rRNA from 1 species
UACGUAGGGUGCAAGCGUUACUCGGAAUUACUGGGCGUAAAGCGCGUGUAGGCGGGUGAUCAAGUCAGGUGUGAAAUCCCCAGGCUCAACCUGGGAACUGCACUUGAAACUGGUCGGCUUGAGUGUUGGAGAGGGAAGCGGAAUUCCUGGUGUAGCGGUGAAAUGCGCAGAUAUCAGGAGGAACACCGAUUGCGAAGGCAGCUCGCUGGGACGUUACUGACGCUGAGACGCGAAAGCGUGGGGAGCAAACAGG